rnacentral:rRNA from 1 species
AUGGCGAGCGGCAGCGAGCAGCCGCAGGCGGAGACCGAGCCCGAGGCGGUGGAGCUCGUGCUGUUCCAGGUCGCCGAGUGCUACGUCUAUCUGAUACCUCCUAGGAAGACGGCCGCCUCUUACAGGGCUGAUGAGUGGAAUGUCAACAAAUGGGCUUGGGAAGGGGCACUUAAGGUUGCCAGCAAGGGGGAAGAAUGUGUCAUCAAACUGGAAGACAAGAGCACUGGUGAGCUGUAUGCCAGGGCAUUUCUGAGAGAAGGCGAACCACAUCCGGUGGAAGCUGUAAUUGAUAGCAGCAGAUAUUUUGUACUUCGCGUUGAAGAGAAUAUAGAUGGGCGUCAGCGUCAUGCUUUUAUAGGGUUAGGCUUCCGUGAAAGAACUGAAGCAUAUGACUUCCAAGCUGCUCUACAUGACCAUAUGAAAUAUCUAAACAAGAAGAAGACCGCUGAAGAGAUGGUGCAGCACUAUGAGAAUACGUCAUCAGUGGAUUAUAGCCUCAAAGAAGGGGAAACUUUAGUUCUCCAACUAAAAAAUAAAGAAAGUGCCAGCAAGACAAAAUCUGCAUUUUUCGAGCAAGGUCUGAACAAGCUGUCGUUCAAUGAAAAAGCAAACACCAAGGAGGCCACAGUGUCCCUCAAACUCCCGCCACCUCCACCCUCACCCGUGUCUCCAACUGAUUCUGGAGUUGCCAUUUCCCCUUUCAAAGCAGAAUUUCCUUCCCAGGAACAACCAGGCACCGGCGAUGCCGGGGACGCCGCCGCUCCUUUCAAAGCAGAAUUUCCUUCACAAGAAGAAGCACUGGAUGAUAUCGUGGAAGCUAGAGCAGAAGCUGCUCCUCGUAAUCAACCAGCCGCAGCAGAGAAGAGCAAACAAGGAAGCGUGGAUGAUGAGUUUGACUUUGGGGACUUCCAGGCUGCUGCUUGA